GAUCAGGACCAGAAAUAUCAGAAGAGGCAAGCCCAGAAAAUAAAAGUAAAUCAAGAGCUGGACUUUUUUCUCCUAUCCAGUCAGUUGAAGUUAAAGAAUCUCACAAGGCGGAAGUUUUUGACACUACUGACUCAGAUAUGCACAAAGGACACACCACACCAGAUUGGAUCAUCAUCCUUGGCUUUGUUGUUGGUGUUGCAGCACUGGUAAUACUCCUCGCCGCAAUCGCUACCAGAGACAAGUGGAAUGGACCAAAGCAGCAGAAAACCAAAAUUGACACGUCAGACCAGCAGAGGGAGGUAGAGAUGGAGACUUUCCUGCACAAAGAUGUUCC